rnacentral:rRNA from 1 species
CCUGCUCAAUGCCCAUAAAUAGCCGCAAAAAGUGCUAAGGUAGCAUAAUAACUUGCCUUUUAAUUAAAGGAUAGUAUGAAAGGAAAAACGAUUUAUUAACUAUUCCUAAUUUACACCCAAAAAUUAAUUCAAAACGUAAAAAUACGCCUAAAUUUAAGCAGGACGACAAGACCCUGAUGAACUUAACUCACAGUUAUGCUGGGACGGCACAAAACUAAAUCUUUAUACACCUCUUCAAUUAAAGCCCCCUUAGAAUGAAUCAAGUUACCACAGGGAUAACAGCACCAUAAUCUAAUAAAGUCCCCAUUUAAUAGAUUGAUUAUGACCUCGAUGUUGAAUUAAGUCACUCUUCACAGAAAAAAGUGAAAAAGAAAGUCUGUUCGACUUAUUACCCCUUACAU